rnacentral:rRNA from 1 species
GUAACAGGUCUUCGGACGCUGACGAGUGGCGAACGGGUGAGUAAUACAUCGGAACGUGCCCAGUCGUGGGGGAUAACUACUCGAAAGAGUAGCUAAUACCGCAUACGAUCUGAGGAUGAAAGCGGGGGACCUUCGGGCCUCGCGCGAUUGGAGCGGCCGAUGGCAGAUUAGGUAGUUGGUGGGAUAAAAGCUUACCAAGCCGACGAUCUGUAGCUGGUCUGAGAGGACGACCAGCCACACUGGGACUGAGACACGGCCCAGACUCCUACGGGAGGCAGCAGUGGGGAAUUUUGGACAAUGGGCGAAAGCCUGAUCCAGCAAUGCCGCGUGCAGGAUGAAGGCCUUCGGGUUGUAAACUGCUUUUGUACGGAACGAAAAAGCUUCUCCUAAUACGAGAGGCCCAUGACGGUACCGUAAGAAUAAGCACCGGCUAACUACGUGCCAGCAGCCGCGGUAAUACGUAGGGUGCGAGCGUUAAUCGGAAUUACUGGGCGUAAAGCGUGCGCAGGCGGUUAUGUAAGACAGAUGUGAAAUCCCCGGGCUCAACCUGGGAACUGCAUUUGUGACUGCAUGGCUAGAGUACGGUAGAGGGGGAUGGAAUUCCGCGUGUAGCAGUGAAAUGCGUAGAUAUGCGGAGGAACACCGAUGGCGAAGGCAAUCCCCUGGACCUGUACUGACGCUCAUGCACGAAAGCGUGGGGAGCA